rnacentral:rRNA from 1 species
UGAGUAAUGUCUGGGAAACUGCCUGAUGGAGGGGGAUAACUACUGGAAACGGUAGCUAAUACCGCAUAACGUCGCAAGACCAAAGAGGGGGACCUUCGGGCCUCUUGCCAUCGGAUGUGCCCAGAUGGGAUUAGCUAGUAGGUGGGGUAACGGCUCACCUAGGCGACGAUCCCUAGCUGGUCUGAGAGGAUGACCAGCCACACUGGAACUGAGACACGGUCCAGACUCCUACGGGAGGCAGCAUG